ACACAGGCUGUUCCUCAUUCCUGGGAAGACACCAGGCCCAGGAUAAAAGGGCUCCAGUGCUAAACUCCUCAGUCCUCAGCGCUGACAGUGACAGCUUCUGCCUCCUCCACUGACCCAGGUCACUGACUUCUUCCCUAAAAUGUUCUGCCAGCAGAGCCAGCAGCAGUGCCAGCCUCCUCCCAAGUGUCCCACACCUAAAUGUCCCCCCAAGUGCCCACCCCAGUGCCCAGCCCCAUGUCCACCUCCAGUCUCUUCCUGCUGUGGCCCCAGCUCUGGGGGCUGCUGUAGCUCUGGGGGAGGGGGCUGCUGCAGCUCUGGGGGUGGUGGCUGCUGCCUGAGCCACCACAGACGUCGAAGAUCCCACCGCCGCAGACAGCAAAGCUCUGACUGCUGUAACAGUGGCAGUGGUCAGCAGUCUGGGGGCUCCAGCUGUUGUCAUGAGUCGGGGGAUUCUGGCUGCUGCUCUGGGGGCUGCUGCUGACCUACACCAUGAGGACUUUCAACAAGCAGAGCUGGAAGACCAAAGUACUGAAGACCCACCCCAACCUGCUGCUCUUCCUCCCUCUUUUCCUGUCUUCUGUGUCCUGCAGCCUGAUCCACUGAAAUCUUCCAAAGGAAUCUUUUGCACUUCCCCUAAAAAUUUCCAGGCCCAUCUUCUUAUGAAUUACAAACAAUAAAGCCUUCUCCAUUAA